AGUCUCUGAGCGAAUAAUCAGGUAAAUAGACGUAAAUGAGAACGGCUCUACUAAUAUAUCGACCAGUUGAACGAUUAUCGUUCAGAAAAUACCAACAAUCUUUCAUACAUGUAUGUACACAUUUAUAAGCACAGAAAUAUAUAGAUAUUUUGAGGUCAUUGUACUCAUACACCAAACAAGACUUUCCUUUUCUGGCGCAUAGAUCUGAACGUAGUACACUUAUACAUACAGACCUAGUGGUACAUUUGUGCAGACCAUAGUAGAAGUAGAAACUGUAAGGAAGCUUUUACGAGGUCUCAUCACCCGAUUUAACACAACUUAAUUCUUGCUUGCCUUCAGGAGAGCUUAAAUGAUUGAGCGACCCUCCUCCGGUGUAACACCCUUAUUCGGCUCUUGUAAGCAGGCGAUCUAGCAAUGUUUGCGACUUUAAGAAAGGUUUACUUUUCCAGCUGAUGUGUUUCGGGAGCUCUGAAAGAUGUGGUAAGAGCUGUCCUCUCUCUUGUGAUGAAAUCAGAGAAAAUGGAAAUCUUUAUACAAAUUAUCGAGCCGACGCUUGGACGUAAAUGUGUUGACGUAUUUGCAUAAUUACACGUAUGCACACAUAUGCACACAAAUGUACGUAAUAUUGGUUUAAGAUUCUGGCACAAAGCCAGAAAGUUCGGGAAGGAAGAGCCAGCAAGUUGAGAAGAGGGAGUAAAUCGAUCACAUCGACUCCAGUGCAUAACAGGCACUUAUUUCUUCGACCCCGAAAGGAAGAAAGGCAAAGGCGACUUCGGCAGAAGGAAUUUGAACGUAAAGACUGAAGAAAUACCGCUAAGCAUUUCGUCCGGCGUGCUAACGAUUCUGCCAACUUGCCGCCUCACACACACACACACACACACACACACAAAAGUAUUAGUUUCAAAUUUUGGCACAAGGCCAGCAAAUUCAGGGGAAGUAGGUAAGUCAAAUACAUCGAACCCGGUGUUCAAAUGGUACUUCAUUUUAUCGACCUUGAAAGGAUGAAAGGCAAAGUCUACUAGAGGAAAACGGUGUUAAAGAAAAGAACAAUUAUUUCUGUGCUCAUCUGUAGACUUGCUUUUCUGGAGUAGCUUAGCGAACCGAGUAUCGAUUCUUUGUAUUUACAAAUCCACUGAUGACUACAUUCCAACACUUCGAAGGCAGAAUUUUAGUCGCAAAAAGGACUUGUAGACACUCAGUUGGAGACACAGCAGAAUGUGUGAAUUUUCCACGCCAGCUCAAUUUGAUUCGUUCUCAGUCGAAAGACGCCUGUUGUUAUAUCUUGUUGUUUGUAUUCGUAAUUGUGUACCAUGUUCUCCGUUGUUUUGCUUGAUCUUUUUGUCUUUGUUGCCAUAAACAUUCGCUAGCUUUCUUACAAAGGGGUAUAAUGGUCUUAGCUUAGACAUUUGUGGGGAAACCAGAUCGAACCAUCUCGAGUGUAACUGCCCGAAAUGAUCGUGACUUCUGGUACUUGACUGAUGAAAGAAACCCAAGAACGACCCGUCUUUUUUUGCCUGUCCUUCUUAUUGUUGUUUCUCUUGUCCGCCUUUGUAUCGUCUAUCUGUCCGAACGUUUUAAUGCUCUCUAUUGCGUUUUUCUUUCAUUUAUGUGUGUGUGUGUGUGUGUG